rnacentral:misc_RNA from 1 species
UCUUUUCUCCUCCAUAACAGUUCUGUUUUCCUUUUGUGUAGUAGUUGCUGUGUCUCUGUUUUUAUUUUCUAAUUUUAUAAACUCACUUUAAUGAAAAGGGUGUAUACUUAAAAUGAUUAUUUAGUAUUAAGAUGUUUAAUAAGUGCUAGUGAUAUUAAUCAGUUCAUUAUUUAAUCAAUAUACCAUUGCCAAAUAUAUACUGGAGCUUUUGUCUGGAUUAGUAUAAGAAUAUAAAAUAUUGUUAUGUGCGAUAAUUAGUUAUCCUUAAAGUCUGAAUUAAUUAUGUUAACGCCGGGCGUAAGGGUUGUUAGAGGACCUGACUGGUGCUGGAAUAAUCAAGAUGGAGGAGAGGGACAUGUAGGGACUGUAUGUGAAAUUGGCGAGCCUGGAAAUGUAUCUCCAGAGAAAACAGUUGUUGUUCAAUGGGAUAAUGGUACUAGAACCAAUUACAGAGUUGGUUAUCUAGGAAAAUAUGAUUUGAGGGUAUUUGACAAUGCCCAAAUAGGUGUUAAACAUCCAAAUGUUAUUUGUGAUAGCUGUACUAGAGGACAUGUAAGCGGAAUGAGAUAUAAAUGCACAAUAUGCUAUGAUUAUGAUCUAUGCCAGUGGUGUUACAGUAGAGAUGAACAUGAUAUGACCCAUACUUUUAAGAGAUUUGAUUCGACCACAUCGUUGGGGGUUGAUUUACCAGCGAGAUCAGGCAGUCGGAAAGCUGAAUUGCGUGGAAUAUUUUAUGGAGCCAAAGUUGUGCGGGCACACAGUUGGGAAUGGGGAAACCAAGACGGUGGAGAAGGUAAUGUUGGUGUUGUUUUGGACAUACGAGGAUGGGACAACGAAAGUAGUAGGUCAGUAGCUAACGUCCGAUGGUAUUCCGGUUCAACAAAUGUAUAUAGAAUAGGUCAUAAGGGCAAUUGUGAUAUAAAAUUUGUAGAAGCUGCCUCCGGUGGUCAGUAUUAUCCAGAACAUCUUCCUAUUCUAGGCCAAAACGUAGAUCCAGUAGUUCAACCAGGUAGGCCUGGUCCAUGUCCAUUUAAUGUGGGAGAUAAAGUACGAUUCAACGCUUCUGUAGAACAAUUGAAGAUCAUGCAACAAGGUCAUGGAGGAUGGAAUCCUAGAAUGGCUGAGUAUAUGGGUAAGAUAGGAAUGGUUCACAGAGUAACUGAUAAAGGGGACAUUAGAGUCCAGUAUGAAGAAUGUAAUAACAGAUGGACUUUCAACCCCGUUGCUCUGCAAAAAGUCGACAGUUUUGCUGUAGGAGACAUCGUUACACUAAUAACUGACGUUGAAAAGGUCAAAGAACUUCAAAAGGGUCAUGGGGAGUGGAUAGGUAUCAUGCGAAAGUGUCUUGGGAAGCGCGGAAGAGUUUUAAAAGUAUAUUCAGAUGGUGAUCUUCGAGUGCAGAUGGACGACCAUGCAUGGACUUUACAUCCACAAUGUGUCAAAAUAGUACCGGGAAGUGCUGCUGAGUUGGCAAACACAAUGCACCCUGUCAAAAAUCCGAGACAAGAACCGUCAAUAUGGACCUCGCCCGCUAAUCAAGCGGACAUCCCUGGCAAUGAUUUGGCAGAUAAGCUAGUUAGAGCGGCGGCGCAAGGUCAUUCAGAGGCAGUUCAAAAACUUCUAGAGACUGUUCCUCGAGAAGCCAUGGAUGCUGGAAGUAGUGGAAAGACUGCUGGGCAAGUGGCUGCGCAUCAGGGCCACGUACACAUUGUCGGAUUGCUCUUAAAACAUGGAGCUUCUGUUAACGUUGUUGAUAAUGAGGGAGAUACUUGUUUGCAUUAUGCAGCGUUUGGAAAUCAGCCAGAGAUUUUAGAAAUGUUGGUGAAAUCUGGAAUGGAUGUGAACGUAAAUGCAGUAAACCGCAGCGGAUGUACAGCUUUACAUAUAGCAGCUCACAAGCAAUCUCCAAAAUGUAUACAGAUAUUAUUGGCAGCAGGUGCGGACCCCAAUUGUCCUGAUCUCUAUGGAGAUACAGCUCUUCACGACGCAAUUGGAAAAGAUGACCGACAAGUCAUAGAAUUACUAUGUGAAGCACCAGGAUUCGACUUUACUAUUCGGAAUAAGCGCGGUUUUAACGUUCUACACCACGCGGCACUAAAGGGUAAAACUUUCGCCACCAGGAAGUUACUGAGUGUCGCAAGGCAGCUGGUAGACGUGAAAAAAGACGACGGAUUUUCCGCUUUACAUUUGGCUGCCUUGAAUGGUCAUAAGGAUGUGGUCGACACAUUGGUUAGAGUAGGCCAAGCUGAUAUCGAUUUAAAAAAUAACCGAAACCAGUCUGCUUUGCUUUUAGCUGUGAGCCAAGGUCAUUGCGGCGUUAUAGAAGUACUUAUCGAACUGAAAGCUAACAUAAAUGCCAAAGAUGAAGACGAAGACAACGCUUUGCAUAUAGCAUUAACAAAGAAGAACCAAUUAACCGGGGAAGUUUUACGGGAAGAGAGCCCAGCGAUCCAUUCUAUUUACAAGAAUCUCGGACAGUUUCAAGAAUGUCGUCUAGCUCUUGCUAUAGGAUGUUAUCUAGUACAGAGAGGCAUCGAUCCAGACGGGGCUAAUAGUAAAGGACAGUCUGCUUUGAGUUUGCUUCAGGAAGAAAAUUUGAAGGAACUAGUAAAAAGCUACAAACCCGCCAUCGAAGACAGUAACCAAAUUGAUUCGAAUAUACCGAACAUUAUUAAUUUGGAAAACUUAUCAUUAGAUGACCAGAGAGAAGGAUAUAACUUGACUGGUACUCCCUCUAAAACUAACCCCGGAUCUGAUGGAAGUAGAAGAAGUCGAGCAAAACAAGAUCGAGACAAAGGUGGUACUUCCCAGGAUAACCGCACUGCCAACUUAAUUCCCAACAAACCAGUAGAAUGCCAAGUAUGUUCCGAAUUAUCCGAAGAAAACGUAUUACUAGAACCCUGCAAUCACAAACCAGCGUGUGAAGACUGCUCUUCCCGAAUGAAGAAAUGUCUGGAAUGCGGCCAACCCGUCCAAAAGCGGGUCACCAAAGACGGGCGUGUGAUUCCUCCGAAGAGCCGUCAGCCCAGCGCCGAACGGAUGCGGUAUUUGGAGUGUAAAAUUCAAGAGAUCGAAGAAAGUCACGCUUGCAGCAUUUGUAUGGAGAGAAAGAGGAAUGUCGUGUUUCUUUGUGGGCAUAGCACUUGCUCGAGAUGCGCCGAUACGUUGAAAAUCUGCCAUAUGUGCAGGAAAACUAUUACCAAGAAGAUUCCUAUUUAUUAGUGGACUGUAAGAGUGGUUCUAUAGUUUAUUUCGAUUAAUGAACAGGAGUGUAGGAGAUUAUUUUAGGUAUGGGGUUUUUAUAUAAAGUUGAGAAUUUUACAAAUAGCAGAUGGCAGCGUUUACAAAUUCGAAGACCACUGCGGUUCCAAAUGCUGAAAACGUGGUUAUUAGAUAAAACCCUAUCUAAAGGAUUUUUAUGUUUACAGUUUACAGUCGUUAUGUAGGUAUAAGGGUCAGACUGGAUGUGCUCUUAUUCAUAGUUCUGGGACAAGUGAGUCUUGGUCGGCAGUGAAAAAGAACGCGUAUAUUUUAACCUUUUCACUGCGGGAACCGGACAUAUACGUAAAAUAAUUUCGGGCCCGUACAACGGGAACCGGCUAAAUACGCGUAGCCUUUUUCGGCAUUCGCUGCGGCAACCGCAUGAAUCAGAUAUUGUUUGCGUAUUGUAUGUUGCCCAUAGAAGAGAGUUUGGCAUGUUAUAUCAAAAUUUACAUUACAUUUAAAAAUUCAUACAUUUCAAGAAUCGAACACUUAACAGUCACAACCGGGUUGAUCAGCACAGGCAUGAAACAGCCGUACCAAAGAUCAUACUACUUUUAUAACUAGCCGCAGUGAAAAGGUUAAACGCUGUAAAACGUUUUGUAGUUCAUCAAUUUUAUCGCUAUAAAGCAGAUUCUUCUUUUUCAACUAUAUAUUAAUGUAAGAUAAUAGCUGGCUUAAGAUUUUAUAACAAAUGCAUAAAAAUUUUUAAUGAAUAAAAAAUAUUCUUGAAAUAAUAAAAAUUUUGCAAAAAUACAUUCAAAAGGUACAUAAUUCUGCAAUUAACUUUUAUUAAUCUCAAAACGUAUAGUGAAAAGGUACAGAAUCACAUUGGUUUAACUGUCUUUGCAUUGAAUACAAAAGUGUGAAAUGUCGCUGUCAGUAUAUGUAACGUUACGUUUACAUAUUAGUUUUUAACUACCAAAUUUCAAAAAAUUCUUUUAUUAUAUAUUUCGAAAAAUUUCCGCCAUAUUGGAUUCGCCAUCUUGUUUUUUCUGAGAAUGACAGAUUCGUAAUCAUAGAUCUUAAAAAGCUCUUAAAUUAGCAAACUUCAAAAGAAAUUAUGCAUUUUAAUUAGUAUUUUUAAUUCUUUUCGAUAUACUGGAUCCGCCAUUUUGUUUUUAUUUCAAAAAGAAUUUUUAUUCUUAAUCAGCUAUUUCAAAAAUCUGUUAUAUUAUAAAAUUUUAAAUUUCAUAUUGGAUCCGGUAUUUUAUUUUUCAAAAUAUACUGACAAAUUUGUAAUCAGCGAUCUUAAACCCUUUAGAUUAUAAAAUCAAAAAAAAUAUAUUGCGUUUUUAUCGAUAUUUCCAAUUUUCCGCCAUUUUGUUUUUCAAUAAAUAAUUUCAGAUUUGUAAUCAACGAUCUUAAAAACUCCUUAAAUUACCAAAUUUGGAAAAAUAUUGCUUUUUGAUUGGUAUUUUCGAUGUCUUUCCGCCAUAUUGGAUCCACCAUUGUAACAAAACAAAACCCUUAAGUACGAAAGUAACACCGAAGUGUAUGAACAAUUUACUCUUUUAAAGUUUCGUGACCAUGUUUUUGGCAUUUGGAACCACAGUGAGACCGUAUGUCGAACUUUCUGAGACUCAUAGGGAAUAUAUCGAGGUUUUUUUUAUAAUUGAGAUUUGCAAGCAAGUACUGUUAUUUUUGUCACUGGUUACAGUCGAUACUUUUAUUUUAACUAGUUUAAUAGUUCUCACACAUUUACAUAAAAACCUUAUACUUUAUUUAUUUUAUACAUAACAUAAUUGAAAGUACAAUUUUAUAAUCAAAAUGUUUUUUUACUUUUACAGAUAAAUAUUAUAUUUAAAAAAGUGUGGUAACAUAUCGAUAUAUUAAUAAGGUUUGUUUAUUUGUUAAACUGUAUUUACACUAAACUUUUUACUUCUUCUUCUUAAGGUUCCAUCUCCUAGCGAAGGUUGGAUAUCAUAAUGGCUAUGGUCACUUUGUUGGCUGCUGCUCUGAACAGUUGUAAUGAACUACAGUUAAACCAUUCUCUAAGGUUCCUCAGCCAGGAGAUGCGUCUUCUUCCUAUGCUUCUUCUUCCUUGGAUCCUUCCUUGCAUAAUAACUCUCAGCAGCUCAUAUUUCUCUCCUCUGGUAAUGUGACCCAAAUAUUCUAGUUUUCUUGUUUUUAUACUGUUCAAAAUUUCUAACCCCUUAUUUAAACGUCGUACCACUUCAACAUUGGUAAUCCUUUGAACCCACUGAAUUUUCAACAUUCUUCUGUAACACCACAUUUCGAACGCUUCUAUUUUUCUUAUGUGUUGCCUUUUCAAUGUCCAAGCUUCCAUUCCGUAUAGUAAUAUAGAAAAUAUGUAGCAUCUUAGAGCCCUCAAUCUGAGAGGCAACUGAAGGUCUUUGUUUGUAAGCAGUGUCUUCAUUUUUAUAAAUGCUUGCCUUGCAGUUUCAAUUCGGACUUUAAUUUCUUUGCUUUGGUCAUUUUUGUCAUCAACCCAGGUUCCCAGAUAUUUGUAUGUCUUUACUUUUUCUAUUUGGGUUUGUUCUAGUAUUAACCUUUCAUUUCCAUUAACUUUAAUUUCUUUGCUUUGGUCAUUUUUGUCAUCAACCCAGGUUCCCAGAUAUUUGUAUGUCUUUACUUUUUCUAUUUGGGUUUGUUCUAGCAUUAACCUUUCCAUUUUGUGUUUUUGAGACAAUCAUAAAUUUAGUUUUUUUCUUGUUUAUUUUGAGUCCAUAUCGAAUGCAAUAAUCGUUAAUUCUAUUUAACAAUUCUUGUAGCGACUCCAGGGUGUCUGCCAUUAUAACGGUGUCAUCAGCGAAUCUUAUCUUAUUUACUAUUCUUCCGUUUAUAGAGAUUCCAUCACUUAGUUCCGCUAUCGCUUCCUGAAAUAUGGCUUCACUGUACACGUUAAACAGUAGCGGCGACAGUACACAACCCUGUCUUACCCCUCUCUUUAUAUCAAUAUUCUCGGACUCUUGUUCGUCUAUCUUUAUAUUGGCCUUUUGAUUCCAAUACAGAUUGAUGAUAAUUCGUAAGUCUCGUCUGUCUAUAUCUCUGUUUUUCAAUAAUUCUAUUAGUUUUUCAUGUCGGACUCUGUCGAACGCUUUUUCCAAGUCGAUGAAACAGGAAUAAAUAUCCAGGUUCAUAUCUAAGCAUCUUUGGGAGAGGACAUUAAAUGCAAACAAUGCCUCUCUUGUUCCAAGUCCUUUGCGGAACCCAAAUUGGGUAUCAUCCAUAUCAUUUUCUAGCUUUCUGUAUAAUCUUCCAUGAAUCACCUUUAGAAAUAUUUUGAGGGUAUGGCUUAUUAGUGAUAUUGUCCUAUAGUCUGAACAAUCUUUGGCAUAUAUUGUUUUAGGUAUUGUUACAAAGGUGGACACCAACCAUUCCUGAGGUAUUUUUCCGGUUUUAUAUACUUCAUUAAACAGAUCCAGUAGUACAGGUAGAGUUUCAUCGUCUAGAUAUUUCAGUAAUUCUGCAGGUAUUUCGUCUGGACCUACAGUUUUUCCGUUUUUUGCGUUUCGUAUUGCUUGUUCGAUUUCCUCCAUUAUGAUCUCUGGUCCCGUUUCGCUAUCGAUUUCUUCCGGUUCUUGUCUAUUAUCUUCAAACAGAUCUGUUAUGUACGCCAGUACGCCUUCUACUUUUUUAAUUUCUCUUUGACUUCUAUAAUAAGUUUUCCAUUUAUGUCUUUAAUAAGGCCAUCUUUCUUUUUUCGCUGUGUAUUUGUGAUUUCCUUUAUUUUCUUAUGCAUAUUAAAGCUAUCAUGUUUUUUAGAAUAUUCUUCUAUUUCACUGCAUUGAUUUGUCAGCCAGGUGGAUUUGGCCUCUUUUAUUUUCUUUAUUAUUACCCUCUGUAUUUCUUUGUAUUUUGCCUUAUUCCUGCCUUUGUUUCCUUCUUUCCUCCAUUAACUCUAGGAUUUCUGAAGUCAUCCAUCUCUGUUUUUUUCUUAUUUUUGUCUGUAAUCUUUUCUUUCCUGCCUCUACUAACGUUUCUUGUAUCAUGUUCCAUUUGUCAUUAACAUCUGUUGUCUUUAUCACGUCUUGUUUGAUUUUCUUUAAGUUAUCAUUUAUUUCUUGUUUUAAACUCUGACGUAUAGGUUCUUCUUUUAUCUUUGAGACAUCGAAUCGUGGUAUAUUUGUUUGUUUUUGGAUCUUUUUUAAUUUUAUCUUCAUUACGCCUACUAGUGGAUUAUGGUCUGAAUUUAUGUCAGCUCCGGGGUAUGUUCUCACAGACUUUAUAGUGUUUUUAUAUCUGGAUUUGAUUAAAAUGUAAUCUAUCUGGUUUCUUACAAUGUGAUCUUCCGAAUCCGCCGGUGAUUUCCAGGUAUAAAGUCUUCUUUUUACACUUACAGACUAAUAUGUUGUUUGCUCUUGUAAUUUUCACAUUACAUAAAACAUUCACAUUACUAAUAACCAGUGAUAUGCCAUAUGGUGGAUAAAAGAAGAAGAAUUUUAAAGACGAAUGUUUAAGACUCAAGUUUUCAAUCUUCUUCUUCUUUUAGUGCCUAUUCGUUUCGAAUAUUGGCGAUCAUUCUGGCUAUAAUUAUUUGAUUAACUGAUGCUUUAAAUAGAUUAUUUGGACGGCGUUAUGCAUAACUCGACCAAGCGCCAUUUCUUUAAAAUCGAGAUAACAGCGGAUUCUGGUGACACAUAACUAAAACUAUCUUGGAAAAUAUCCCUGUUAUUGUCACAUUAACGGUUACUAAGAAAAACAAAAUUAAACCAAGCGACAUUCUGUCUAUUGAGGGUUUUUAGUUUUGCAUAACAAGACUAUAUCCAUAACGACCAUUCUUAGUUUCGCAAUAGUAGACUAAGCGUCUUUGGUCUGGUUAUGCUAAACUAAGCGUUUGACCAGAAUAACAUUUUUGUACCCCUUAAUGUACACAUUAAAUUUGAAGUUUCGGUCAAAAAAUUAUCGAAUUUUUUUAAAGUGAAAAUGUUGUGUUUAUGUAUAAUUAAAUUGAAAAAUACAAAUAAUCUAUAUAAAUAUAUAAGUAGUGUGACCAACUAGCCCGAAAAAUCCCGGACAUGGCCCGAAUUACGAAGUCGUGUCCCGGCGUCCCGGACAAGGCUUCCGGGCCAUCCGAAUUUUCAACGUUUUGGUAAAAUUUUAUUUUUAAAUUUUGAAUAUGUUAUUCUUUUAAGAAUUCAAAUCAAAUUGAAUUGGUGGGACGCAAAAAAGUCGACAAUUUCUAGAAUGUAAUACUAUUUUUUUUUCUUCUACGGCACUAUAGCCCAAAUUGAGCCUUGGCCUCCUUUAUUUUUUGCCUUCACCCUUGUUUGUCUGUGGCUGCUCUUCUCCAUACACGGACUCCUAAAAGUGCUUGUGCGUCGCUGGUGUCUUCCCAGAGCUUACUUGGCUUUCCAACCGGUCUUUUUCUCAGCAUUCUAGCGUUCAGUGCUCUUUGUAAUACUAGUAUCUAGUAUCACAUCAAAAAUUUCCUUUUUUGAGAACGAUUUCCAGAUUGGAAGUCGGAACGUCAAAAACCAAGAAAAAUGUAAUUAUUAUUACGACCAUUUGUCGCUUAAUCCCAACAAAAAUGUCAUUGUCAACAUAAAAAUGUUAAAUAAUCGAUAAAAUGAUGGUAUUAAAGUUCCAUAUAUUUAAAAAAAUGGCCCGAUUUUCAUUGAAAAGUCCCGGAUUUUAGAUAUUUUUUUCAGCUUUGUCCCGAGUUCAAAUGAAUUCUAGUUGGUCACACUAUAAUAUAAGGCAUAAAAUAGUUCUAAGAAUAAAAAAAACACGAUUCACUUCAGACUGCUUCAAAUACCCUAACGCUUUGUAUAAAAACAAAAUACUGAAAAUUCUACAAAAUUCAAUUCAUAUCGAUUGUCAAUUGUUGGGACUGCAAGUUAUUAAACAAUAAAUCUCAUUGGCUGAGCCAUAAAAAAGGUAUCUAUGUACUGCUAUUUAGUACACUAACGCUUCGAAUAACAACAGAUUUUUAACAAUUCAACAAAAUUCAAUUUAUGAAUUGUCAAUGGUCCCUACUGCAAGUUAAUAGCUAAAUAAAUAUCAUUUUACAACGACAACACAGUCUUGGCAAUAAAAAAAGGUACAGAUGUAAAAUUAGAAGAAGAAAAAAUGUAGAAAAAAUUUUACGUAUUUAGAUAUUUAUAUGCUUUUAUACAAAUAGCAACAUCUUUUUUUUUAUUUUUCCCCUGUUUAAAAACUCUGUAUACUCCAAUUUUUUAUUGAUAUAAUUUUAACUGCAUUGGAAUUAACGCUAUUGAAUGGUAAAAUAAAUUUAGAGCAAUAAAAUGCAAAAAAUAUAUUUAAUGAUAAUUGAAUGGAUUAUGUUGUAGCAAUAUACGUUUAAUAUAUAAAUUAAAAAAAUACUAGUUUAUUAAUUUAGUGUUUGCAAGAGGCAUAUCGCAAAAUUUUGUUUUGCAUUAAUAGACCAAAUGACAUAAAAAUGGUAGUUGGUCUAGUAAUGUAUAUUAGCUAAACUUCCUAAAAUAUAUUUAAAGCAUAAGUAGACCAAGCGACAUUUUAUUUUGUUUCUAGAAUAUGGUAGGUGCGAUUAUAUUGAAACUUUGCAACCAAAAAGAGUUAUAGGUGAUCAUUCUUCUGUUAAAAUUUUGUGCAAAUAUGUUAAUAAAUGCAUUUUUAAGAAACGAAAAACUUUAAAGCCAUUUAUCCCAAAACUAUGUUUUGGCGCUUGGUCGAGUUAUGCAUAACGCCGUCCAGUUGUUGUUGUGGAGAACCAUUUCCUCAGGUUCUUUAACCAUGAUGUUCUUAUUCUCCCAAUUCCUUGCUUUCCGAAUACUUUACCUUGAAGGAUUACCUUCAGUAAUCUGUAUUUAGUGCCGUUUCUCAUUAUGUGUCCGAGAUAUUCUAACUUUUCUAAAAAUGUGCUAAAAAGUUCUGCAUGGUACGGUCCAAAACUUAUGAUACAACUAUCAGAUAUGAAAUAUUAUCAAUCUUGUAGGAGGUAUGUUAAAAAAUGUGAAUUUUUAAAGCAAGAAUCAACAUCAAAUAUGAUUAUGCGAAUAAAACGUCAGAUUUUGCAGUGAAUAUCUCAACCACACAUACAUUUAUUUAUUUUUCCUUAAUCUGCAAAAUAAACUAUACAACUAUAAAUAAAAUGCCUAAAAAAAUAUAGAAUAAAUAGUAUUAAAAAAAUAUAACAAAUCAUUGAAUUUAUCAUAAUAAACCUCAUAUUUGGUUCAUAUUCAUAAUAUAUGCUGAUAAUUCUCCAUACAAAAUGUUAUUUAUGCUGAUCAUUGUCAAUAAUUUCCUACCAACAUAAAAGAAAUAAAACAAAACCCCUGUUAACUGACCAUAACUGAAUCUGUGGAUGUGAAACAGCAACUGCCAGUUAGACUGAAAGAUUGGUUAACCCCUAGUAAACUAGAAAUGUUAGUUAACCCCUAGGGUUAACCACUGUUUGUGAAACUGACCGUUAGGUGGCCUAACCAAGAAAACUAUUUUUUUGACAAAAUACAGCAAACGUCAAUUCUUUUUGUUUGAAUUCGCAGCGCAGGUUUUAAGCACCAUAUUUUAAUGACAUAUAAUGACAAUCGGAUCGGCCCUAUAGUAAAACUAUCCACAUACACAGCUAAGCGGUUGUCAAUCAACUGAGCUCUCUCUUUUGGUUCACAUGUACAGUAUGUCAAAUAUACGGUGACACACUUGGUCGUAUUGAUAUUAGGCUCCACCUACGAUGCGCAGUCAACAGCGACACAAUUCACCGAAUGCGUUCCCACUUAUUUUUCAUAUGCAAGUAUACAAAAUCGCCACGUGUCACCGUAUAUUUGACAAACUGAGUACCUAUAUGGCUAAAAAAUUAAUAUAUAUGAUUAUUUCAUUCAUAGGAGAUUCUGGCCAAUAGAAAGCUACAGAAAUACAAAUUAAACUGAUAAUUUUUGAUAAUUUUCCGUCGUCGAGUAUAUUACGUCAGAUGCCCUUCGUUGUUAUGAAAAAAUACAUUCAGUGACAUUAAUGACAAUUAAUGUUUUAAAAAUUAUAAAAGUGAUGACUUUCAACCGUCAAAUAUUUAUAACAACUGUGUGUUUAAUUGUACUAAUUUGUACUUACAUAAAUAAAUUACAAUAAAAUUUUGGUUUUUUGAACAGUUUUAUUCAUGAAAUAAUCGCAACAAAUUGCACUCGAUCUCUAAAAUUAAUAUAGAAUUUUAGAGCUCUUGUGCAAUUACUACUGAUAAUUGCAUUCUAGGUUUUAGAUCAUUCAGAACUUUUUAUGAAGAAUAACUUUUCUUCAUAAAAUUAAAAUUAACAAAUUAAUUGUCCCGUUAAGUCUGCACCAUAUUAUGGAAAUCAUUUUUAUUUUAAAUUUUAUGAAAAAAUUUAUUUUUCAUAAAACGUUCUAAUAAAAACUAGAAUACUGAGCUAAAUCCUAUAGUGUUUGUCACUCUAGGUUUUGUGAGAGUUAUAGAGUUGUCAGUGCGGCUUGCAUAUGGGAAUGCUUUUCAAAUGAGAAGUAAAGAAACCGUGUUGCCACAUAAUCGGUACGGACACCAGAGGUGGAUUUUAAAUACAAGAAUUUAACCGGUGCACUUCGCUAGACGCUUACUAAGACGCACGAUCUUCAAAGCUCGCUGAUUCUUCGAACUGGCAUCGUUGCGCUUCGUAAGAACCUGUACUAACUUCUCGGAGUGACAAACGCUAUAGAAUAAAAUCAUCACAUAUUAAAUUUUUUCAGUCAUAUACUUGGUUUGUCAAAAAAUAUGAAUUUUAUGUAAGAGUAACAAUAUUCAUACGUAAGAAAUUUUUAGAUCUCCGGAUCUGUGGAUUUCGACAAAGUUCCUUUGUUAUAUUAAUUAAAUAUAAUGUUAUUAUACGAUUAAACCACAAAAUUGUAAUAGAUAUGUUACGAUGUGUACUCCUGUUCAUUAUUAUAAAUUACGUGAUAUUUUGUGUGUAUAUAAUUAUAUAAAGUAUGAUAUCGAAUUUAUAUUAUAUUGUGUACUUUAGUUGAUGUCCGUACACAUUGUUAUUUUUUUUUAUGAUAGACUUCUACCAAUGAUUUAUAAAAAUCAAAAUUUAUAUACUGAUAGCUGAAUGUAUAUUCUUAGAGGAGUUCAUAUUUAAAUACGUAGAAAUUAAAAAAUCUUUUUCAUUUAUAA